rnacentral:rRNA from 1 species
GACGAACGCUGGCGGCGUGCUUAACACAUGCAAGUCGAACGGAAAGGCCCUGCUUUUGUGGGGUGCUCGAGUGGCGAACGGGUGAGUAACACGUGAGUAACCUGCCCUUGACUUUGGGAUAACUUCAGGAAACUGGGGCUAAUACCGGAUAUGAGCUCCUGCUGCAUGGUGGGGGUUGGAAAGUUUCGGCGGUUGGGGAUGGACUCGCGGCUUAUCAGCUUGUUGGUGGGGUAGUGGCUUACCAAGGCUUUGACGGGUAGCCGGCCUGAGAGGGUGACCGGCCACAUUGGGACUGAGAGACGGCCCAGACUCCUACGGGAGGCAGCAGGGGGGAAUAUUGAACAAGGGGCGGAAGCCGGAUGCAGAAACGCCGCGUGAGGGAUGACGGCCUUCGGGUUGUAAACCGCUUGCGCCUGUGACGAAGCGUGAGUGAAGGUAAUGGGUAAAGAAGCACCGGCUAAAUACGUG